rnacentral:rRNA from 1 species
GAAUGGCGCUCAUAGCAUGCAGUCGAGCGAGAACCCGCAAGGGGGACAGCGGCGAACGGGGUAGGACAACGUAGGUAACGUACCCUCGGGGCGAGGACAGCCACGGGAAACUGUGGGUAAUACUCGAUAAUGUUCCCAAUCGUGAUGGAAGGGGAACCAAUGGGUGUGAUUCCACCUGAGGAGCGGCUUACGCAGUAUCAGCUUGUUGGUGAGGUAACGGCUCACCAAGGCUAUGACGCUUAGGGGAUGUGAGAGCAUGAUCCCCACCACUGGCACUGAGACACUGGCCAGACACCUACGGGUGGCUGCAGUCGAGAAUCUUCGGCAAUGGACGCAAGUCUGACCGAGCGACGCCGCGUGCGGGAUGAAGGCCUUCGGGUUGUAAACCGCUGUCAGAGGGGAUGAAGUGUACGGGAGUUAUCUCCUGUAUUUGACAGAGCCUCAGAGGAAGCACGGGCUAAGUUCGUGCCAGCAGCCGCGGUAAUACGAACUGUGCGAACGUUAUUCGGAAUCACUGGGCUUAAAGGGUGCGUAGGCGGCUGCCUAAGUCAGGUGUGAAAUCUCUCGGCUCAACCGGGAAACUGCGCUUGAUACUGGGCGGCUCGAGUGAGGUAGGGGUGUGUGGAACUUCCGGUGGAGCGGUGAAAUGUGUAGAUAUCGGAAGGAACGCCAGCAGCGAAAGCGGCACACUGGGCCUUUUCUGACGCUGAGGCACGAAAGCUAGGGGAGCGAACGGGAUUAGAUACCCCGGUAGUCCUAGCCGUAAACACUGAACACUCGAGGAGGGGGGCUUCGGCCUUCUUUCUCUUAGCGAAAGCGUUAAGUGUUCCGCCUGGGGAGUAUGGUCGCAAGGCUGAAACUCAAAGGAAUUGACGG